AGGCCCACUUCAGCAGCAUAUAUGCUAAAAUUGGAAUGAUACAGAGAUUAGCAUGGUUCCUACACACAGAUAACACACAAAUUCAUUAAGUGUUCCAUUAAAAA
rnacentral:snRNA from 1 species